GUGUGUUUGCUUCAGCUGCACAUAUAAUAAAAUUAGAACAUACAGAGAAAAUUAGCAUGGCCUCUGAGCAGGGAUGACUUGCAAAUUCAUGCUGUGUUCAAAUUUGUU